AGGGCACCACCAGGAGUGGAGCCUGCGGCUUAAUUUGACUCAACACGGGAAAACUCACCCGGCCCGGACACCGUAAGGAUUGACAGACUGAGAGCUCUUUCUUAAUUCGGUGGGUGGUGGUGCAUGGCCGUUCUUAGUUGGUGGAGCGAUUUGUCUGGUUAAUUCCGAUAACGAACGAGACUCUGGCCUAUUAAAUAGACGGUAUAUCCCCCCCCAAGAAUGCCGCGCUUCUUAGAGGGACAACCGGCGACUAGCCGCGUGCAGUGGAGCAAUAACUGGUCUGUGAUGCCCGUAGGCGGGCGGUGCUGCACGCGUGCUACGAAGAAAGCAUCAGGAUGCGCCGUCGCCUAGUUCGGAAGAACCAGCCAACGGGAGUUUUUUCUUGCUUGCUUGGGGGAGGGGAAAGCAUUUAUUUCGCGUAAACGAGGAACUCCCAGUGCUGUGUGUCAUGAGAUCUCGUUGAUUACUGGCACAUGUUUCGUGCAGUCCGGCGUCUAAUACAACCGCUUGGAUGAAUUA
rnacentral:rRNA from 1 species